rnacentral:rRNA from 1 species
CCAGGCUUCAAACCGAAGCCAGCAGUGAGGAAUUUUGGACAAUGAGCGAAAGCUUGAUCCAGCAAUACUACGUGGGGGAAGAAGGCUCAAUUGGUCGUAAACCCCUUUCAUUAGGGAGGAUAAAGACAGUACCUAAAGAAGAAGCUCCGGCCAACUUCGUGCCAGCAGCCGCGGUAAUACGAAGGGAGCGAGCGUUAUCCGGAUUGAUUGGGCGUAAAGGGUCCGUAGGCGGCCUUGAGUAGUCAAAAGUAAAAGGUUAAAGCUCAACUUUAAAAUUGCUUUUAAAAAAAACGUCAAGGCUUGAGUUUGAAAGAGGAUAGCAGAAUUUUAUAUGGAGGGGUGAAAUCCUAAGAUAUAUGAAGGAAUACCAACGGCGAAGGCAGCUAUCUGGGUCAAUACUGACGCUGAGGGACGAAAGCACGGGUAGCAAAAAGGAUUUGAUACCCUCUUAGUCCGUGCCGUAAACGAUGAGUGCUCGUGCUCAGACGUAAGAUUUGGGCACUUAGGUAACCCAUUAAGCACUCCGCCUGAGAAGUACGAUCGCAAGAUUGGAACUCAAAGGAAUUGGCGGGGGUUCAUACAAGUGGUGGAACAUGUGGUUUAAUGCGAUAAUCCGCGCGAAACCUUACCAGUUCUAGACAUUUUUCUUUUUUUUUAAGAUUAAAAAGAUAAUCAGGUGUUGCAUGGCUGUCGUCAGCUCGUGUUGUGAAAUGUUUGGUUAAGUCCUUUAACGAGCGCAACCCUUGUACUUAGUUGACUUCGGUGACUCUAAGUAGACUGCCCACUAGGAUAGUGGGAGAAAGGUAAGGAUGACGUCAAGUCCUCAUGGCCCUUAUGAACUGGGCUACACACGUGUUACAAUGGUAAGAACAAUGAGAAGCGAUCUUGUAAAAGUGAGCAAACCUAUAAAUCUUAUCUUAGUUCGGAUUGUGGGCUGCAACUCGCCCACAUGAAGUUGGAAUCACUAGUAAUCGCAAAUCAUCACGUUGCGGUGAAUAUGUACCUGAAC